rnacentral:rRNA from 1 species
UACGAAGGGGGCUAGCGUUGUUCGGAAUCACUGGGCGUAAAGGGCGCGUAGGCGGCUUUAUAAGUCGGGGGUGAAAGCCUGUGGCUCAACCACAGAAUUGCCUUCGAUACUGUAGAGCUUGAGACCGGAAGAGGUAAGUGGAACUGCGAGUGUAGAGGUGAAAUGCAUUGAGAUCGGAAAGAACACCAACGGCGAAAGCACUCUGCUGGGCCGACACUGACACUGAGAGACGAAAGCUAGGGGAGCAAAUGGG